rnacentral:rRNA from 1 species
UAAUACGGAGGGGGCUAGCGUUGUUCGGAAUUACUGGGCGUAAAGCGGGUGUAGGCGGAUCUCUAAGUCGGGGGUGAAAGCCCAGGGCUCAACCCUGGAAUUGCCUUCGAUACUGGAGAUCUCGAGUCUAGGAGAGGUGAGCGGAAUUCCGAGUGUAGAGGUGAAAUUCGUAGAUAUUCGGAGGAACACCAGAGGCGAAGGCGGCUCACUGGACUAGUACUGACGCUGAGACCCGAAAGCGUGGGGAGCAAACAGGAUUAGAUACCCUGGUAGUCCACGCUGUAAACUAUGAGAGCUAGUUGUCGGUGAGCAUGCUCAUCGGUGACGCAGCUAACGCAUUAAGCUCUCCGCCUGGGGAGUACGGCCGCAAGGUUA